rfam:Acetomicrobium mobile DSM 13181 chromosome, complete genome.
GGAACGUGUACUCGUUGCGGGUCAACGAUCGCAAAGGA